GCCCUUAUAGACUAAUGGUAUGUCACCCAGAUAUAUUAGACAACACAGAACGUAUUUAUACUUUGGGAGAUGAGGGUUCGAAUCGCUGUUGGGGCA